rnacentral:rRNA from 1 species
GACGAACGCUGGCGGCGUGCUUAACACAUGCAAGUCGAACGGUGACGCGCCUUCCUUUUUGGUGUGUGUGGAUGAGUGGCGAACGGGUGAGUAACACGAGCGUAACCUGCCCUCUUCUUCUGGAUAACCGCAUGAAAGUGUGGCUAAUACCGGAUAUUCUGGGUCUGUCGCAUGAUGGGUCUGGGAAAGAUAUUGUUUCGGAGGGGGAUGGGCUCGCGGCCUAUCAGGUUGUUGGUGGGGUGCUGGCCUACCAAGGCGGUGAGGGGUAGCCGGCCGGAGAGGGUGAGCGGCCACACAAGUACGGAGACGCGGCGACUACUCCGACAGGAGGCAGCAGUGAGGAUUAGAGAACGGUGGGCGCAAGGCUGAUGCAGCGACGCCGCGUGAGGGAUGGAGGCCGGCUGGUUGUGAACCUCUUUCGCGAGAGAAGCGGGCCUGCCUCGUUUGUCGGUGGGUUGACGGUAGCUGGAGAAGAAGCGCCGGCUAACUACGUG